rnacentral:rRNA from 1 species
AACGAACGCUGGCGGCGUGCCUAACACACGCAAGUCGAACGGAUUUGAGGGGCUUGCUCCUCAAGUUAGUGGCGCACGGGUGAGUAACGCGUAGAUAAUCUGCCCGACGAUCCGGGAUAACAGUUCGAAAGGACUGCUAAUACCGGAUAAGCCCACGUGGUCUUUGGACCGUGCGGGAAAAGGGGGGGACCUUCGGGCCUUCUGUCGUCGGAUGAGUCUGCGUACCAUUAGCUAGUUGGUAGGGUAAAGGCCUACCAAGGCUACGAUGGUUAGCUGGUCUGAGAGGGUGAUCAGCCACACUGGGACUGAGACACGGUCCAGACUCCUACGGGAGGCAGCAGUGGGGAAUUUUGCGCAAUGGGCGAAAGCCUGACGCAGCAACGCCGCGUGAGUGAUGAAGGCUUUCGGGUCGUAAAGCUCUGUCAGGGGGAAAGAAGUGUAUUGUGGCUAAUAUCCACGAUACUUGACGGUACCCCCAAAGGAAGCACCGGCUAACUCCGUGCCAGCCGCCGCGGUAAUAC